AGAAAUUUUAUAUGGUAAAUACCUAUUUAUUGGACAUAAUUGAUUGUUAUAAAUUUCGGAUCUGACAAAAAAAAAAUACCAAAUAUUUGAUGGAAAUAAUUAAUUGUAAAUGAACACAUUUCGUACCUGGCGAAAAAUAAUGUAAAUAUUUGAUGAAAAUAAUUGUUACGAAUUUAGUAUAAAAAGAACGUUUCGCAGUGUAUCGACAUUGUAUAAUUGUUUUGCUUUAUAGUGUAUACGAUUAUUGUUGUAAACCAAAAAACCAAACAAAAACCAAAAUGAAAUCAUUCAGUUUCUGUCUGGCAGUAGCAGCCAUCUUGAUCAUCAGUUAUUGCGUAAGAACACGUUAUGUUAUUAAAUCUAUUUUAUAUUUUUCUCUAAACAAAAAUGUAAGGAACCUUUUUAAUUUUUUUUUUUUUUUUUUAUUAACAUAUCAAAAACAAAACAUUUAAUAUACAUCAAAAAUAAAUUUGUUAUAGAAUUGAUUGACUUACCUCCUGUAAGCUUAUGCAGCUUGUGUUGGAGAUAAGGAGCUAUGAUUACUAAUAAAUUUAUAUAUAUAUAUAAUAAAUAAGAACAUAGUGUAAAUAUAUUUAAAUUAAAAUUUGAAAUACAUAUUGAAACAACUUUAGAAAUAUAUAAACCAGCCUAUUUUCUAAAUAACAAUGCUAAAGGCAAAUGAAUAAAUAAAAACAAAUCAAAAUAUGUGCUACAGGUAUAGGUACAAUAAAUAAAAAAUAAUAAAACAAAAUUGGGUUAUAUUACUGUAAAUUCUUGUAUAAUUCAAAGAAUAAAUAUUUGUAUGUUAAAUCUUUAAUAUUUACAAUUUCACUACCAAGUGUUUUUUUUUUUUUUUUUUUUUUAAAGUCAUAGGGCUUAGAGUUGAAAGAAGUUGGGCCCUGAUAGUCUAAAAAAACGCUGGCUGAACGAAGUACUCACAUAUUUAACAGUCAAAUCAUAUUUUAUCGUUUCCCUUUUGUUGUUUACUUCCUUUUGAUCGUUAUUUAAAUUAAAUUUUUUAACCAAACACAUAAAUACAAUUUUUUUUUAUAUAAAAUCCUUUUAGGCAAUACACCAAAUUCAUCAUAGUUAUCGUUCGUAGAUCCUUGCAGAGUGAAUUUACUAACGUUUUCAAAGUACCGAAGUUGAAUAUUUUCUAAAAAUGUCGAUAAAAAAAAAUAAACGGUCAAGCUCACAUCUCUAGGCAUACAUAAUAUGUUCCGAAACAAACUACCGUUUAUCUAAUAUUAUUUAUAGAAUAAAAACUAAUUAUAAAUUAUAUUAUUGUAGCAAUUGAUAAGCGCAGAUGCACCAUUGGAUCAAAGUAACAGAGGACCUAUCAAUAUCCGUUGAAGUGGUAUGUCGGCACCAUAUGCCAAUAAAGGAUCAUGUGUCCAACCAUAGUUUUACUAUACUUAUCUGCAGAGGACACUGGUUACCAAAACUCACAACGUUUUAAAAAUAUAUGCACCCACAUCAUAUACUUAUAUUAUGCACACUUUUAAACUUUUAACGGUUUCACUGUUAAAAUACUAAUAAUUAAAAUGUAUUUUUAUCCGAAAUACACAACAAUUAUUAUAUUUUGACAUUGUACCUAUGUUAUAUGAUUAUGUAUUAUGAAUGACGAUUAAGAAAUUCAGAAAUAAAAUCACAUAUUAUAACCACUGAUUUUGUUGUAACUUUUAUUGAAUCCUUCCUAAUAUUUGUUACGAGAAACUAACACGGCGUCAAUUUUGUGUCUACUAGUGCUAAUCUAUUAUUUAAUAUAAAUUUAGUACAGACAUGCGAAUAAAUACCUAUCAAAUCGAUACAACGGACGAGGGAAAGUUUUAUUACCUACCGAGCGUACUUCCAGUUUUCCGUACAUAUUUAAAACUAUUUUCACUUUAUACUUAGUGUAAUAACAUUU
rnacentral:lncRNA from 1 species